GAUGAAGAACGCAGCGAAAUGCGAUAAGUAGUGUGAAUUGCAGAAUUCAGUGAAUCAUCGAAUCUUUGAACGCACAUUGCGCCCCUUGGUAUCCCGAGGGGCAUGCCUGUUCGAGCGUCAUUUCACCACUCAAGCCUGGCUUGGUGUUGGGCGACGUCCCCUUUGGGGACGCGCCUCGAAACGCUCGGCGGCGUGGCACCGGCUUUAAGCGUAGCAGAAUCUUUCGCUUUGGAAGUCGGGGCCCCGUCUGCCGGAAGACCUACUCGCAAGGUUGACCUCGGAUCAGGCAGGGAUACCCGCUGAACUUAAGCAUAUCAAUAGGCGGAGGA
rnacentral:misc_RNA from 1 species